GAUGAAGAACGUAGCGAAUUGCGAUAAGUAAUGUGAAUUGCAGAAUUCAGUGAAUCAUCAAAUCUUUGAACGCACAUUGCGCUCUCUGGUAUUCCGGAGAGCAUGCCUGUUUGAGAAUCGAUAAAUCCCUCACAUGUUGCUUUUCUUGCAAAAACAAGGACUGGGACCUCUGUGGAUUUGGAUCGUUUGCGCGCCUCUGGUGUGCAAUGAUCUUAAAUUAAAUGUCUGCAGCUUUUGUUUUCAGCAAUAAGCCCAAAGUGCAUGAAUGGAGUUUUAAAAGACUUGAUCCUCACGUUGGCGUUUGUUGUUCGAUCACAAUGUGUCUGUUGGAUUCACCCAUUACAUUGAGGGAAAGCUCCAGGGCGAUCUUUCAAAAACUUGGUCUCAAAUCAGGUAGGAAAACCCGCUGAACUUAAGCAUAUCAAUAAGCGGAGGA
rnacentral:misc_RNA from 1 species